rnacentral:tRNA from 1 species
CAAAAAAUAGUUUAUUAGAAUACUAAUUUUGGAGAUUGGAGGUGUAAUGUAUUUAUUAUUUUUUUGA